UGGUCCGGGUAGAGAGCUGGGGGGUUGUCUCUCUGAAGGUGAUGUGGUACCUGGUCCGGGAUAGAGAGCUGGGGGGUUGUCUCUCUGAAGGUGAUGUGGUACCUGGUCCGGGUAGAGAGCUGGGGGGUUGUCUCUCUGAAGGUGAUGUGGUACCUGGUCCGGGUAGAGAGCUGGGGGGUUGUCUCUCUGAAGGUAUGUGGUACCUGGUCUGGGUAGAGAGCUGGGGGGUUGUCUCUCUGAAGGUGAUGUGGUACCUGGUACACAAGUCACUGGACCUGCUCAGCUCCCAAUCUUUCCCUUUUGGACAAUCACGGUUUCAAAAGCUCUUUUGGUUUGAAAAAGACCUUCAAAAAGGCAAACACACCCUCCUACGCACAGACAUUUGUUUUUGUUUCAUGCUUCCAGAGACUGUGUUGAUAAUUACAAAGGACUUCCAUUUAAUGAUUACAAUGUCAUUUGUGUUUUUUUAAGUAGUUACUUUUUUAGGUGAAUAUGUUUUUCUAAUUCAAGCCUUUCUUUGCUGGUGAGGUACACGUUGAAGUACAUCAAAACAGUGAUCACUAGCUACAGUGAUGUACAUUCUGUCUGCUUUAGUCUUGUUUUUAUUGGGGUUGGAUUGUGUGGAAACCAUUAACUGAUUGUUGAAUCUUUUUUUACCAUAUCAGCCUCAUAGAUAACACCGCUCUGUGCCACACACGCACACACACACACACACACACAGACCUGCAUAUGUGUAUGUACACACACACACACACACACACGUAUCUCUAACUACAUACAUGCAGUUUGUGUGCAUGCUCAGCUGUAGAGACACAAAAGCUCCAUUCAUGAGACGCUUUGAAUAAUCCAACGCUUGAAACCACUGGCGCCGCCCACAUACACAAGACCCCAGAGGACACGCCCCUCACACACUAGUAUGACAUCACAGGACACGCCCCUCACACACUAGUAUGACAUCACAGGACACGCCCCUCACACACUAAUAUGACAUCACAGGACAUGCCCCUGAGACACUAGUAUGACAUCAAAGACACGCCCCUCACACACUAAUAUGACAUCACAGGACACGCCCCUGAGACACUAGUAUGACAUCACAGGACACGCCCCUGACACACUAGUAUGACAUCACAGGACACGCUUUCUCACACACUAGUAUGCAAGCGGAGUACAGUACCAUGUACAGCUGGACCAUAUACAGAGUGGACCAUGUACAGAGUGGACCAUGUAGAGAGGACCAUGUACCGCGUUCCCAUGGGGGGUGCAUUCAUGUUUACGCUCUGUGUUGCUCUCAGGAGAAACGCUGCCUCCACGUGUCACAUGUCAUACUUCUGUCACAACAUAUCAUGCUACUUGCCUCUCACGUAUGCUAUGACGCCAUCCCUCUCUUAAACACUGUACCUUCUCCCCCCAUGCCAAAGCGAGUCAUUUGAAGAGAGUCUAUAGACACAUUUCGACAUGGCGAACGCACACAGCUACACAGGUGAGCAGGUGGAGGCUUCCAUUUUGCCGAUGCAAAUAUGUUGAAAGAAAGAUAAUCAACUAAAUGUGAAAAAGGCUGGAUUUACUCAGGAAACAAAAGGAAUCUCAUCUCAUUCCCCUGUGAUCCAAACUGGACCGGUUGUUGCUAUGACACAUGAAACGAGACGACACAACUUUUGGCUUUGUCUUCUUUCAUUUCAGCAUGAACGCGUUGUUCGAACCUCCCGCCAUUGAGGAGGUAGCGGCCACCAGGUGGCAGCAAAGUCUCCUCAUCAAUAAAGAAACUGCAGCAUUAAGAGAACAUUUCAGUUGUAGCAAGAAUACACUUUCUUCCUCCUUCCCCCAACUAAAUGUGUGUUAUCAAAGCAAUAUGGCCACCGAUAUAUCCCACCUCUGCACUGUUGGAGCUUAGUGCUAGGCACUUACUUUGUAUUGCGUUAAAAAGCUAAUGUCAAGAAAAGAAUCUCGCCAGUUUGUCGUAUGAGUUUUGAAUGUUUCAAGACUCCAUGUUCUGUUAUGGCUUUACAUAAUCUCUAGAGCGUUAACGAUGAUAAGCGAUAAACCUUGAUUAAAUGUAGCUUUUGUUAUAUUUCUUUUUCGAAAGGCGGCUAUAAAAUGACAAUGAACUAUAUCAAUAAAAUGUGUAAAAAUAUGAUAUCUUGAAAACAGUGUUUCCUUAUAGUCCAAAGGAUUUGUCCGUCAUUACAACGCAUCGAGAACAAAGCAAGUGUUUCAUGUCUGUCAACAUGACACCACCAACAUCACAGGAAUAUUUUUCUAUUAUGGCACAAGAUUGUGGUUCACUGUAAAAAUACGUUGUGUUCAUCAGUUCAGUUCUCCGCUGCAUUUAGAUUCUUUCAUGGGCUGACUCCCCUCGGAUCACGACUACAGCUCAGCUGUGAAGAUCUGCGCUCAGUUCGGGUUCACUGGAUGAAAGGACUCCUGGUUCUCGUGCUUGUGCUGAAGAACAAGCUAAAUGCAGCUGGAUGGCUUCAGAACCAUGAAUACAUGAAUUGUCCAAACAAUGUAGUUGCUAUGUGUAGAUGUAGAACAAUGGGCGAGGAAGGCUCCCCUGACGACCACAUGUGUUCACAACAUCCUCCAGAGACCAGGAUGGGUUAGGGUCAGGGUCAGGGCUAUGGUAAACCCUAACCCUGACCCUAACCCAUCAGGAGACCGGGAGGUUGAACUGGACCGGGUCCAUGAGGCUCACUGUGUCACCAGGGGGGUGACCCCAUGAGGCCUCAUGCUGUCACCAGGGUGGUGACUAUGAGGCUUCAUGCUUUCACCAGGGGUCAUGGCUGUAAUCCCAAUGAUGGCUGUCAGGUUGAAUGAUGAUGGCUCAGAUGAUUGUCAUGUCCAUGACAUUAGUCAAUAAAUAAAAAAUGCAUUGAUA